rnacentral:rRNA from 1 species
AUUCCACGUGUAGCAGUGAAAUGCGUAGAUAUGUGGAGGAACACCGAUGGCGAAGGCAGCCCCCUGGGAUAAUACUGACGCUCAUGCAAGAAAGCGUGGGGAGCAAACAGGAUUAGAUACCAUGGUAGUCCACGCCCUAAACGAUGUCAACUAGCUGUUGGGCCCUUCGGGGCUUAGUAGCGCAGCUAACGCGUGAAGUUGACCGCCUGGGGAGUACGGUCGCAAGAUUAAAACUCAAAGGAAUUGACGGGGACCCGCACAAGCGGUGGAUGAUGUGGAUUAAUUUGAUGCAACGCGAAAAACCUUACCUACCCUUGACAUGUCUGGAAUCCUGAAGAGAUUUAGGAGUGCUCGCAAGAGAACCGGAACACAGGUGCUGCAUGGCUGUCGUCAGCUCGUGUCGUGAGAUGUUGGGUUAAGUCCCGCAACGAGCGCAACCCUUGUCAUUAGUUGCUACAUUUAGUUGAGCACUCUAAUGAGACUGCCGGUGACAAACCGGAGGAAGGUGGGGAUGACGUUAAGUCCUCAUGGCCCUUAUGGGUAGGGCUUCACACGUCAUACAAUGGUCGGGACAGAGGGUUGCCAAACCGCAAGGUGGAGCUAAUCUCAUAAACCCGAUCGUAGUCCGGAUUGCAGGCUGCAACUCGCCUGCAUGAAGUCGGAAUCGCUAGUAAUCG